CUCCGCCUCCGCCUCCGCCUCCGGCAGCAAGUGAGCGCGGGGAGAGAGACAGAAGCCGGCGGCGGCGGGGCGAGAUGGGGAAGAAGCAGAAGAAGCCCAGGAAGGGGAAGGAGAAGACGGAGCGGAAGACGGCCAAGGGCGAGGAGAAGCGCGCCCGCCGCGAGGCCCGGAAGGUCGGCGAGGAGGACGACAUCGACGCCAUCCUCAGGAGCAUACAAAAGGAGGAGGCUAAGAAGAAGGAGGUACAUAUAGAUGAGAAUGUCCCUGCACCAUCUCCCCGGUCCAAUUGCUCGCUUACAAUAAAUCCCCUGAAAGAUACAGAAUUGGUUCUGUAUGGAGGAGAGUUCUACAAUGGCAGCAAGACCUUUGUUUAUGGUGAUCUUUAUCGCUACGAUGUAGAGAAAAAUGAGUGGAAGUUGGUAUCUAGUCCUAACAGUCCUCCUCCACGAAGUGCUCACCAAACAGUUGCCUGGAAGAAUAAUAUAUACAUGUUUGGUGGGGAAUUCACUUCGCCAAACCAAGAACGUUUUCAUCAUUACAAGGACUUUUGGUCAUUGGAUCUAAAAACAAAUCAAUGGGAGCAAAUUCUUGCGAAGGGUUGUCCAAGUGCACGUUCAGGGCACAGGAUGGUCCUCUAUAAGCACAAGAUCGUGCUAUUUGGUGGUUUUUAUGACACUCUUAGGGAAGUGAGAUACUACAAUGACUUACAUGUUUUUGAUUUAGAUAAUUUCAAGUGGGAGGAGAUCAAGCCUCGCCCUGGGUGCUUGUGGCCAAGUCCAAGAAGUGGCUUUCAGCUAAUGGUAUACCAAGAUCAGAUAUAUCUGUAUGGCGGAUAUUUUAAAGAAGUAGUUUCUUCUGACAAAUCUGCAUCAGAAAAAGGAACAGUUCAUGCAGAUAUGUGGACUCUUGAUCCUCGUACUUGGGAGUGGAAUAAGGUUAAGAAAACUGGGAUGCCACCUGGCCCCAGAGCUGGGUUUUCUAUGUGCGUUCACAAGAAAAGGGCUGUUCUUUUCGGUGGUGUGGUAGAUAUGGAAAUUGAAGGGGAUGUCAUUAUGAGCAUGUUUAUGAAUGAGCUCUAUGGUUUCCAGCUGGACAACCAUCGCUGGUAUCCUUUAGAGCUCAGGAAAGACAAGCCUGCUAAAAAUAAGACAAAGGACAUCAAAAGAAAAGAACCAUCGAACAAUGUGGAAGAUAAUCUUGGUAAUGAGGAGGAUGAGAUCAUGGAGGACUCAGAAACUACUGGAGGGCAAUCCGAAGUCCAUGGGGUUUCGAAUCACUUGACCAAGAGUCUAACCUUAAAUAAAGCUGGCUCAGGCAAUAGCUCUGAUAUUCUCUCUGAUUCGACAACACAAGAAGUACUCCCAGAGGCAGUGAAACCCGGUGGUCGGAUCAAUGCAUGCUUGGCUGUAGGGAAAGAUACACUCUAUUUAUAUGGAGGAAUGAUGGAAUUGAAAGAUAGAGAAAUUACUCUUGAUGAUAUGUAUUCACUUAACCUUAGCAAACUAGAUGAGUGGAAGUGUAUCAUACCGGCAUCUGAAUCUGAAUGGCUAGAAAUUUCUGAAGAUGAGGAUGAUGAAGAUGAUGAUGAUGAUGAUAAUGAGAAUGAUAGCGAGGAUGACGCUAAUCAGACCGAUGAAGAUGAUGAAGAGUCUGAUGAAGAUGCCGAGAAGAAUGUCGAUAUGUCCACUGCUGUAUCGCUAAUAAAGGGUGAACGUAAGAACUUGCGAAGAAAAGAGAAGCGUGCUCGGAUAGAGCAAAUUCGGGUUAUGCUCGGUCUUUCUGAUUCUCAAAGGACUCCAAUGGUGAUGUUCCAGGAGAGUCACUAAAAGAUUUCUACAAGAGAACGGAUAUGUACUGGCAGAUGGCUGCAUAUGAGCACACUCAACACACUGGAAAGGAGCUCCGCAAAGAUGGUUUUGAUCUUGCCGAAACUCGAUAUAAGGAACUGAAACCCAUACUCGACGAGCUGGCUGUGCUCGAGGCUGAACAGAAAGCUGAGGAAGAGGCUAGUGCUUCCACUAGUUCCAAGAAAGACACGAGGAAAAGCAAGCAGAAGAGUGGCAUGAGAUAGCUUUGGUUCGAAAUAUCGAAAUAGAGAGUGGUUUAGGCCAAUGCUUUAAGCCAUCUGGGAUUUUUUCCUUUCUGAGCCAUUGGUCAGCUCGAUCGAUUAAUCCACACGAGGUGCCUAUAACUACCUGUGUAGGUUGGCUUAAUCCAUGGUUAAAAUUUUCCAACGUACUGUAUUUGCGAUUCCUCGGAAGCAUUCAUGGAGAGAUUGUACACAGUUCUAUUCAUCGGAAAUUCGUUACUACGUACAAGUUUUGAGUUCUCUACUGUUCAGUGUUCACAGCCUGCGAUGUAACACGGUACACCCUAACAGUAUCUGGGUGCGGUGUAAAUUCACUCCAUCCGUUUCAGGUUA